GACGAACGCUGGCGGCGUGCCUAAUACAUGCAAGUCGAGCGGACUUAUACGGGUAGCUUGCUAUUUGUAUAAGUUAGCGGCGGACGGGUGAGUAACACGUGGGUAAUCUGCCUCGUAGACUGGGAUAACAAGCCGAAAGGUUUGCUAAUACCGGAUAAGUUCAUGGAUAUGCCUAUAUACAUGAAGAAAGGGGAAACCCGCUAUGAGAUGAGCCCGCGCCCCAUUAGCUAGUUGGUAGGGUAAAGGCCUACCAAGGCGACGAUGGGUAGCCGGCCUGAGAGGGUGGACGGCCACACUGGGACUGAGACACGGCCCAGACUCCUACGGGGGGCAGCAGUAGGGAAUUUUCGGCAAUGGGCGGAAGCCUGACCGAGCGACGCCGCGUGAGGGACGAAGGCCUUCGGGUUGUAAACCUCUGUCUGGGGGACGAGGAUGGACGGUACCCCCGGAGGAAGCCCCGGCUAACUACGUGCCAGCAGCCGCGGUAAACGUAGCGUG
rnacentral:rRNA from 1 species